UACGGGGGGGCAAGCGUUGUUCGGAAUUACUGGCGUAAAGGGUUCGUAGGUGGCCAACUAAGUCAGACGUGAAAUCCCUCAGCUUAACUGGGGAACUGCGUCUGAUACUGGUCUGGCUUGAGUGCAGGAGAGGAACGCGGAAUUCCAGGUGUAGCGGUGAAAUGCGCAGAUAUCAGGAGGAACACCGGUGGCGAAGGCGGGUCUCUGGCCGAUACUGACGCUGAGGAGCGAAGCGUGGGGAGCGAACAGG
rnacentral:rRNA from 1 species